CACGCCGUAAACGUUGAGAACUAAGUGUUGGGGAGACCCAGUGCUGAAGCUAACGCAUUAAGUUCUCCGCCUGAGGAGUACGCACGCAAGUGUAAAACUUAAAGGAAUUGACGGGGGCCCGCACAAGCAGUGGAGCAUGUGGUUUAAUUCGAGGCUACGCGAAGAACCUUACCAGGGCUUGACAUCCUCGGACGACACUAGAGAUAGUGUUUUCUCUUCGGAGACUGAGAGACAGGUGG
rnacentral:rRNA from 1 species